rnacentral:rRNA from 1 species
UACAGAGGGUGCAAGCGUUGUUCGGAAUUAUUGGGCGUAAAGCGCGUGUAGGCGGCUUUGCAAGUCGGGUGUGAAAGCCCUCAGCUCAACUGAGGAAGUGCGCCCGAAACUGCAGAGCUUGAGUGCCGGAGAGGGUGGCGGAAUUCCCCAAGUAGAGGUGGAAUUCGUAGAUAUGGGGAGGAACACCGGUGGCGAAGGCGGCCACCUGGACGGCAACUGACGCUGAGACGCGAAAGCGUGGGGAGCAAACAGG